GCCCGCUCAGAAACUCAAUGAAGUUGACGGGGGCCCGCGACAAGCGGAGGAGCAUGUGGUUUAAUUCGAUGAUACGCGAGGAACCUUACCUGGGCUCGAACGUAAGAUGACUGUAGGUGAAAGCUUACAUCUCUUCGGAGCAUUUUACGAGGUGCUGCAUGGUUGUCGUCAGCUCGUGCCGUGAGGUGUCGGGUUAAGUCCCAUAACGAGCGCAACCCCUACCUUUAGUUGCCAUCAGGUAAUGCUGGGGACUCUAAAGGAACUGCCUACGCAAGUAGUGAGGAAGGCGGGGAUGACGUCAAAUCAGCACGGCCCUUACGUCCAGGGCUACACACGUGCUACAAUGGCCGAUACAGAGGGCAGCUACCUGGUGACAGGAUGCAAAUCUCCAAAGUCGGUCUCAGUUCGGAUCGGAGUCUGCAACCCGACUCCAUGAAGUUGGAAUCGCUAGUAAUCGCGGAUCAGCCAAGCCGCGGUGAAUACGUUCCCGGGCCUU
rnacentral:rRNA from 1 species